rnacentral:rRNA from 1 species
AUUGAACGCUGGCGGUAGGCUUAACACAUGCAAGUCGAGCGGAAACGAAGAAUAGCUUGCUAUUCUGGCGUCGAGCGGCGGACGGGUGAGUAAUGCUUGGGAAUCUGCCUAGUCGAGGGGGACAACAGUUGGAAACGACUGCUAAUACCGCAUACGACCUACGGGUGAAAGGGGGCCUCUUCUUGAAAGCUCUCGCGAUUAGAUGAGCCCAAGUGGGAUUAGCUAGUUGGUGAGGUAAGAGCUCACCAAGGCGACGAUCCCUAGCUGGUCUGAGAGGAUGAUCAGCCACACUGGAACUGAGACACGGUCCAGACUCCUACGGGAGGCAGCAGUGGGGAAUAUUGCACAAUGGGGGAAACCCUGAUGCAGCCAUACCGCGUGUAUGAAGAAGGCCUUAGGGUUGUAAAGUACUUUCAGCGAGGAGGAAAGGGCGCAGCUUAAUACGUUGUGUCUGUGACGUUACUCGCAGAAGAAGCACCGGC